rnacentral:tRNA from 2 species
AUUAAUUUAGUAUAACCAGUACAUUUAACUUCCAAUUAAAAAGCUUGAAUUACUUCAAAAUUAAUA